rnacentral:rRNA from 1 species
UACAGAGACUGCAAGCGUUAUUCGGAUUUACUGGGCGUAAAGGGUGCGUAGGCGGUCUUUCAAGUCAGGAGUGAAAGGCUACGGCUCAACCGUAGUAAGCUCUUGAAACUGUAAGACUUGAGUGCAGGAGAGGAGAGUGGAAUUCCUGGUGUAGCGGUGAAAUGCGCAGAUAUCAGGAAGAACACCCGUGGCGAAGGCGGCUCUCUGGGACGGUACUGACGCUGAGACGCGAAAGCGUGGGGAGCGAACAGG